AUUGAACGCUGGCGGCAGGCUUAACACAUGCAAGUCGAGCGAGCGGCGGACGGGUGAGUAAUGUCUGGGAAACUGCCUGAUAGAGGGGGAUAACUACUGGAAAGGGUAGCUAAUACCGCAUACCAUCAGAUGUGCCCAGAUGGGAUUAGCUAGUAGGUGGGGUAAUGGCUCACCUAGGCGACGACCCCUAGCUGGUCUGAGAGGACGACCAGCCACACUGGGACUGAGACACGGCCCAGACUCCUACGAGAGGCAGCAGUGGGGAAUAUUGCACAAUGGGUGAAAGCCUGAUGCAGCCAUGCCGCGUGUGUGAUGAGGGCCUUCGGGUUGUAAAGCACUUUCAGCGGGGAGGCGUUACUCGCAGAAGAAGCACCGGCUAACUCCGUGCCAGCAGCCGCGGUAAUUC
rnacentral:rRNA from 1 species